UACGUAGGGAGCAAGCGUUGUCCGGAAUUAUUGGGCGUAAAGAGCUCGUAGGCGGUUUGUUGCGUCGGCUGUGAAAUCCCGAGGCUCAACCUCGGGUCUGCAGUCGAUACGAGCAAACUAGAGUGUUGCAGGGGAGACUGGAAUUCCUGGUGUAGCGGUGAAAUGCGCAGAUAUCAGGAGGAACACCGGUGGCGAAGGCGGGUCUCUGGGCAACAACUGACGCUGAGGAGCGAAAGCGUGGGGAGCGAACAGG
rnacentral:rRNA from 1 species